AUUGAACGCUGGCGGAAUGCUUUACACAUGCAAGUCGAACGGCAGCAUAGGUGCUUGCACCUGAUGGCGAGUGGCGAACGGGUGAGUAAUACAUCGGAACGUGCCCAGUCGUGGGGGGUAACGUAGCGAAAGUUACGCUAAUACCGCAUACGAUCUAAGGAUGAAAGCGGGGGACCGUAAGGCCUCGCGCGAUUGGAGCGGCCGAUGUCAGAUUAGGUAGUUGGUGAGGUAAAGGCUCACCAAGCCGACGAUCUGUAGCUGGUCUGAGAGGACGACCAGCCACACUGGGACUGAGACACGGCCCAGACUCCUACGGGAGGCAGCAGUGGGGAAUUUCGGACAAUGGACGCAAGUCUGAUCCAGCCAUUCCGCGUGCAGGACGAAGGCCUUCGGGUUGUAAACUGCUUUUGUACGGAACGAAAAAGCUCUUACUAAUACUAGGAGUCCAUGACGGUACCGUUAGAAUAAGCACCGGCUAACUACGUGCCAGCCGCCGCGGUAA
rnacentral:rRNA from 1 species